rnacentral:tRNA from 1 species
GCGGUCGUGGCGAAAUUGGUAGACGCACCACUUUGAGGGGGUGGCGGAGAAAUCCAUAUGAGUUCGACUCUCAUCGACCGCA